rnacentral:rRNA from 1 species
CCUACGGGAGGCAGCAGUGAGGAAUAUUGGUCAAUGGUCGGGAGACUGAACCAGCCAAGCCGCGUGAGGGAGGAAGGUACAGAGUAUCGUAAACCUCUUUUGUCAGGGAACAAAGGCGUGGACGUGUCCCCGGAUGAGUGUACCUGAUGAAAAAGCAUCGGCUAACUCCGUGCCAGCAGCCGCGGUAAUACGGAGGAUGCGAGCGUUAUCCGGAUUUAUUGGGUUUAAAGGGUGCGCAGGCGGUCUGUUAAGUCAGUGGUGAAAGCCCGGGGCUCAACCCCGGACCGCCGUUGAAACUGGCAGUCUCGAGUUGGAGAGAGGUAUGCGGAAUGCGCGGUGUAGCGGUGAAAUGCAUAGAUAUCGCGCAGAACUCCGAUUGCGAAGGCAGCAUGCCGGCUCCACACUGACGCUGAGGCACGAAAGCGUGGGUAUCGAACAGGAUUAGAUACCCUAGUAGUC